ACUCCUACGGGAGGCAGCAGUGGGGGAAUAUUGCACAAUGGGCGCAAGCCUGAUGCAGCCAUGCCGCGUGUAUGAAGAAGGCCUUCGGGUUGUAAAGUACUUUCAGCAGUGAGGAAGGUGGGUAUGUUAAUAGCAUACUCAUUUGACGUUAGCUGCAGAAGAAGCACCGGCUAACUCCGUGCCAGCAGCCGCGGUAAUACGGAGGGUGCGAGCGUUAAUCGGAAUUACUGGGCGUAAAGCGCAUGCAGGUGGUUUGUUAAGUCAGAUGUGAAAGCCCGGGGCUCAACCUCGGAAUUGCAUUUGAAACUGGCAAACUAGAGUACUGUAGAGGGGGUAGAAUUUCAGGUGUAGCGGUGAAAAUGCGUAGAGAUCUGAAGGAAUACCGGUGGCGAAGGCGGCCCCCUGGACAGAUACUGACACUCAGAUGCGAAAGCGUGGGGAGCAAACAGGAUUAGAUACCCUGGUAG
rnacentral:rRNA from 1 species